rnacentral:tRNA from 1 species
GGCCCCGUUGUGUAGCGGCCUAGCACGCCGCCCUCUCACGGCGGUAGCGCGGGUUCUGAAUCCCGUCGGGGCUA